rnacentral:rRNA from 1 species
CAGCACCUCAAGUGGUCAGGAUGAUUAUUGGGCCUAAAGCAUCCGUAGCCUGCUUUGUUAGUUUCCGGUUAAAUCCAUACGCUCAACGUAUUGGCUGCCGGGAAUACUGCAAAGCUAGGGAGUGGGAGAGGUAGACGGUACUCGGUAGGAAGGGGUAAAAUCCUUUGAUCUAUUGAUGACCACCUGUGGCGAAGGCGGUCUACCAGAACACGUCCGACGGUGAGGGAUGAAAGCUGGGGGAGCAAACCGGAUUAGAGACCCGCGUAGUCC